UGGGGGAGUGGGGCCUAGCACACCUAAGUUUAGGAACACAAAUGGAAGGUAUCAGACCUCUCUCCCUCUCAGCUCUACCUCUUUCAGUGUGAUAGCCUCAUUCUCUCUGAGUGAAGAAAGAUCUUAGUUGCAGAAAAUUCUAACCAUCAUCCCAACACAUCCAGAAAAUUCCAGAGAAGGACUCCAAGUGGUCCUGCUUCACUCACAUGUCCAUAUGUGUCCAAUAACUGUGGUCUACAGAUGGGGCCAGGCUCCAUGGCCAGGCUCUGGUAACAUGCCCACACUCAUGGCUUAGUGGAACAGAGUGCCAAGAAUAGAAAAAUGGGCAUUUCUGUAAGGAAAAGGAAUACUAGGAAAAGGGUGGAAGGGAAAGUUGGCAGACAAAAUGAUAGAUAUCUACCUCAAAAAUUGGUUUUCUUGGGCAGCCCCGGUGGCUCAGCGGUUUAGCACCACUUUCACCUGGGGUGUGAUCCUGGAGACCCGGGAUCGGGCCCCACGUCGGGCUCCCUGCAUGGAGCCUGCUUCUCUCUCUCUAUCUCUGUCUCUCAUGAAUAAAUAAAAUAAAAUCUUUAAAAAAAAUUGGUUUUCUUCAAUUUACACUUACCUCUUAACAGUUUCUCCUGGUCCCCUAAAAGCGGAAAAGAAAAUUUAUCUAUACUUGUAUAUACACACAGAAGAAUGAAAAGAGACCCAGAGAAUGCUCAAAAAUCUACCAGUCAGCAUUACAGAGAAAUCUCUGCUUCCAGAGAAUGAGAUUCCGGAAAUCUCUUGACUUCCAAAGUCAAGUCAGAGAGUGAUAAAUUCGAGCAGGUUAUGGGAGCUUAGAUUUCAUAAUUUGGCUGAUGCUUCCAAAAGGAGUUUUAAGGAAACUUCCCACCCUACUCAGCAUGAGUGUAUCCUUCAAGCUGGGGAAUCCUGCAAAACCUGACAGCACAUUCAGUGCAAACAGUCUUUAAUGAAUAGCAAGAGGCAAAAACCAUUAAUCAAGUACUACCUGCACGAGAACCCGCUGUGGAGAGUUCUGCUGAAAUAUGUCAUGGCCAGUGCAGCUCAAGUGGACUAGAAGGCAGCAGCAGACACACCCUGCAGGGACAAGAGUGGACCAAGCUGAAAGACUCACAGCCUGGUCAUUUGGUGUGGUGUUUUGUUGCUUUCUCCUUUGCCUUUUUUUUUUUUUUUUUUAACCCUAGAGAAGAAUGGAGAAAUGAGAAUAUCCAGGGAAGAGCUUACUUGUUGCCAUCUUAUUCCCCAAGUUCUUUCUUCCUUCCAAUAUAGUUCUUGGCUUCGCUGAUCUUACUUCAUUCUUUUCAUAGGAGCUCCAUACCCAUUAUCCCUACCUGGUUCCUUCUUGCCCUGCAGAGAACCCUAAAGCACCCCAGAAAUGAGUUCACUGGGGCUUGAUGCUUUCUCCACUCUACAGGAUUUUCAAGCUGACUACAGCCUUGAAAGUUGCCCAAGCAUAUGAAAUCAUGUCACUAAACGGUUACACACCCAGACUCCAGAGCUCAGCUACAAAUCUCAAUGCCACCACUUACUAAUUCUAUGUAGAAGCAUGUUAGAUUUAAAACUGUCCCAGUUCCCAAAUCUGUAAAAUAGAGGAGGUCCAAAGAUACAGAUGCAGUGAAACGCCGGGACACCUGCACCCUGAUGUUUAUAGCAGC